rnacentral:lncRNA from 1 species
CGAAACAUGUCAGCAUUUGUACCAAGUGCGGCCCUGUUCUAUGUCUUAUAAUCUGGGGUUGGGAAGACUUUGUAUUAUACUCCUGUCUGGUGAUCGACCGAUCGGUUGCAUAGAAGAAAAACCUGAAGCGCGUAAAUGGACCGUGCUACAAAAGAAAAGAAAAAAAGGAGUGCGGGUGUGGAUAAUAUGGAGAAAAACUGUAUUUUGCUUACCCCCUUGAUUCUUUUGUAUGUAAAAUGUGGGCACUGUCAGACCUCACUGUGUGAUCAAAUCCUCUUUGUCCUGUCCUGUGUCCUAUCCUGAAGGGGCCUCUCGUUCUGGAUGAAUAAACAGCAAAUAGCUUUGCAUAUGACUGGCCCCACCUGUCGAUGAUUGGUAAUUAAAUGACGGUAAUUAUUGUGAUGAAUAAUUCUUUGAAGGCUGUAUUUUAUUUUUUACGUACAUCUCUACAGUGUAACAGCAAAUAAGUGCAUGUUUGUAUUGUACGUUUUGAUGUAGUUGGGUAUUUAUACACCGUAUCUGACA